rnacentral:rRNA from 1 species
GACGAAGGUUGCGAGCGUUGUUCGAAAUCACUGGGCUUAAAGCGCAUGUAGGCGGCUAAGUAAGCGCUUUGUGAAAUCCCCCGGCUUAACCGGGGAAUUGCUUGGCGAACUGCUUAGCUUGAGGCAAGUAGGGGUGCAUGGAACUCUUGGUGGAGCGGUGGAAUGCGUAGAUAUCAAGAGGAACGCCUGCGGUGAAAACGGUGCACUGGGCUUGUCCUGACGCUGGGAUGCGAAAGCGUGGGGAG